rnacentral:rRNA from 1 species
CCAGGGCAUUGCUCAGUAGCGGCGAGUGAAGCGGCAAAAGCUCAAAUUUGAAAUCUGGCGUCUUUGGCGUCCGAGUUGUAAUUUGAAGAAGGUAUCUUUGGGCCCGGCUCUUGUCUAUGUUCCUUGGAACAGGACGUCACAGAGGGUGAGAAUCCCGUGCGAUGAGAUGACCCGGGUCUGUGUAAAGUUCCUUCGACGAGUCGAGUUGUUUGGGAAUGCAGCUCUAAGUGGGUGGUAAAUUCCAUCUAAAGCUAAAUAUUGGCGAGAGACCGAUAGCGAACAAGUACAGUGAUGGAAAGAUGAAAAGAACUUUGAAAAGAGAGUGAAAAAGUACGUGAAAUUGUUGAAAGGGAAGGGCUUGAGAUCAGACUUGGUAUUUUGCAUGCUGCUCUCUCGGGGGCGGCCGCUGCGGUUUACCGGGCCAGCAUCGGUUUGGAGCGGCAGGAUAAUGGCGGAGGAAUGUGGCACGGCUUCUGCUGUGUGUUAUAGCCUCUGACGAUACUGCCAGCCUAGACCGAGGACUGCGGUUUUUACCUAGGAUGUUGGCAUAAUGAUCUUAAGUCGCCCGUCUUGACCCACGGGACCA